UGGUUUAGAGAAUGCCAAGAGUGUGCAAAGCUGUCAUCAAAGCAGAGGGUGCCUACUUUGAAGAAUCUCAAAUGUAACAUUUUUUAUUUAACACUUUAACAGCCAUCUGGUUAUAUAUCCAGUGACCAGGUGGAACCAACAGCCGUCUGGUUAUAUAUCCACUGACCAGGUGGAACCAACAGCCAUAUGGUUAUAUAUCCACUGACCAGGUGGAACCAACAGCCAUCUGGUUAUAUAUCCACUGACCAGGUGGAACCAACAGCCAUCUGGUUAUAUAUCCACUGACCAGGUGGAACCAACAGCCAUCUGGUUAUAUAUCCAGUGACCAGGUAGAACCAACAGCCACACGGUUAUAUAUCCAGGUGGAACCAACAGCCAUGUGGUUAUAUAUCCACUGACCAGGUAGAACCAACAGCCAUGUGGUUAUAUAUCCAGUGACCAGGUAGAACCAACAGCCAUGUGGUUAUAUAUCCAGUGACCAGGUGGAACCAACAGCCAUCUGGUUAUAUAUCCACUGACCAGGUGGAACCAACAGCCAUCUGGUUAUAUAUCCACUGACCAGGUGGAACCAACAGCCAUCUGGUUAUAUAUCCAGUGACCAGGUAGAACCAACAGCCACGCGGUUAUAUAUCCAGGUGGAACCAACAGCCAUGUGGUUAUAUAUCCACUGACCAGGUAGAACCAACAGCCAUGUGGUUAUAUAUCCAGUGACCAGGUAGAACCAACAGCCAUGUGGUUAUAUAUCCAGUGACCAGGUAGAACCAACAGCCAUGUGGUU